rnacentral:rRNA from 1 species
UGGUCAAGUUAUUAAGGGUGCAGGGCGGAUGCCUUGGCACUAGGAGCCGAUGAAGGACGUGAUAAGCUGCGAUAAGCUUCGGGGAGUUGCACGUAAACUUUGAUCCGAAGAUUUCCGAAUGAGGAAACUCACUUAGAGUAAUGUCUAAGUAUCAUUAAGUGAAUACAUAGCUUAAUGAGGGGAACUCAGGGAACUGAAACAUCUAAGUACCUGAAGGAAGAGAAAGAAAUUCGAUUCCGUA